UCUGCCCUUCACUCUGGGACAAGCCCUGGAAACGGGGUCUAAUACCGGAUACCACCUUCACUGGCAUCUGUGAAGGUUGAAAGCUCCGGCGGUGAAGGAUGAGCCCGCGGCCUAUCAGCUUGUUGGUGAGGUAAUGGCUCACCAAGGCGACGACGGGUAGCCGGCCUGAGAGGGCGACCGGCCACACUGGGACUGAGACACGGCCCAGACUCCUACGGGAGGCAGCAGUGGGGAAUAUUGCACAAUGGGCGAAAGCCUGAUGCAGCGGCGCGGGCGUGAGGGAUGACGGCCUUCGGGUUGUAAACCUCUUUCAGCAGGGAAGAAGCGAAAGUGACGGUACCUGCAGAAGAAGCGCCGGCUAACUACGUGCCAGCAGCCGCGGUAAUACGUAGGGCGCAAGCGUUGUCCGGAAUUAUUGGGCGUAAAGAGCUCGUAGGCGGCUUGUCACGUCGGGUGUGAAAGCCCGGGGCUUAACCCCGGGUCUGCAUUCGAUACGGGCUAGCUAGAGUGUGGUAGGGGAGAUCGGAAUUCCUGGUGUAGCGGUGAAAUGCGCAGAUAUCAGGAGGAACACCGGGUGGCGAAGGCGGAUCUCUGGGCCAU
rnacentral:rRNA from 1 species